rnacentral:Y_RNA from 1 species
AAUCAUCUGAUGGUAGUGGGUUAUAAGAACUUAUUAACAUUCAUGUCACUGAAGUUGGUAUACAACUUCCCACUGCUAAAUUUGACUGGCUUUAA